UGGUACAGGAGCCUAGGGACAAGCUGAA
rnacentral:piRNA from 1 species